AAAUGCGAUAAGUAAUGUGAAUUGCAGAAUUCAGUGAAUCAUCGAAUCUUUGAACGCACAUUGCGCCCCCUGGUAUUCCGGGGGACAUGCCUGUUCGAGCGUCAUUUCACCACUCAAGCCUCGCUUGGUAUUGGGCGACGCGGUCCGCCGCGCGCCUCAAAUCGACCGGCUGGGUCUUCCGUCCCCUCAGCGUUGUGGAAACUAUUCGCUAAAGGGUGCCGCGGGAGGUCACGCCGCAAAACAACCCCAUUUCUAAGGUUGACCUCGGAUCAGGUAGGGAUACCCGCUGAACUUAAGC
rnacentral:misc_RNA from 1 species